CAAAAACAUGUCCUUUCGAAUUUAAUUUAAGGUCUGACCUGCCCAGUGAUAAGUUUAACGGCCGCGGUAUACUGACCGUGCAAAGGUAGCAUAAUCAUUAGUCUUUUAAUAGAGGGCUGGAAUGAAUGGUUUAACGAGGAAUUGACUGUCUCAUUUUAUUUGUUUUAAAAUUUAAUUUUUUAGUUAAAAAGCUAAAAUUUUGUUGGAAGACGAGAAGACCCUAUAGAUCUUUAUAUGAUUUAUUUAAUUAUUUUUAUAUUAAUAUAUUUAUGAUAACAUCUUAUUUUGUUGGGGUGACAAAAAUAAUAAAUAACUUUUUUAUUUAUUAAACAUUGAUAUAUGAUUAUUAGAUCCUUUAUUAAGGAUUAUUAGAACAAGUUACCUUAGGGAUAACAGCGUAAUCCUCCUCCAGAGUUCAUAUUUACAGGAUGGGCUUGCGACCUCGAUGUUGGAUUAAGAUUAUAACUAGGUGUAGCCGCUUAGUUUAUAGGUCUGUUCGACCUUUAAAUUCUUACAUGAUCUGAG
rnacentral:rRNA from 1 species